rnacentral:rRNA from 1 species
AUGCAGCUCUAAGUGGGUGGUAAAUUCCAUCUAAAGCUAAAUAUUGGCGAGAGACCGAUAGCGAACAAGUACAGUGAUGGAAAGAUGAAAAGAACUUUGAAAAGAGAGUGAAAAAGUACGUGAAAUUGUUGAAAGGGAAGGGCUUGAGAUCAGACUUGGUAUUUUGUAUGUUACUCUCUCGGGGGUGGCCUCUACAGUUUACCGGGCCAGCAUCAGUUUGAGCGGUAGGAUAAGUGCAAAGAAAUGUGGCACUGCUUCGGUAGUGUGUUAUAGUCUUUGUCGAUACUGCCAGCUUAGACUGAGGACUGCGGCUUCGGCCUAGGAUGUUGGCAUAAUGAUCUUAAGUCGCCCGUCUUGAAACACGGACCAAGGAGUCUAACGUCUAUGCGAGUGUUUGGGUGUAAAACCCGUACGCGUAAUGAAAGUGAACGUAGGUAGGACCUCCUUUAGGAGUGCACUAUCGACCGAUCCUGAUGUCUUCGGAUGGAUUUGAGUAAGAGCAUAGCUGUUGGGACCCGAAAGAUGGUGAACUAUGCCUGAAUAGGGUGAAGCCAGAGGAAACUCUGGUGGAGGCUCGUAGCGGUUCUGACGUGCAAAUCGAUCGUCGAAUUUGGGUAU